rnacentral:lncRNA from 1 species
ACCGCAAUAGCUUAUGAAUGGCAGAUCCAGAAUCAUUACUGACUAUGUGACACUGAGAUUCAUGCUCUAAAGCACAACCUCCCCAGUGAUGGAGACUGACAGAGAGUCUAUCAGAACAUCAGAGCCUCUGAUUUGCAUUUCUUAGGCUGAUGCCUCCCCAAUUGUACCCCGAAAAAAAUGGCUAUAAAAGAAAAAUUCUAAAACUUGUCAGAAUUUAAGACCAUACUUCUAUGAUGCAAUGGAACACCUCCUUUUGAAUCAGCUCAAUGUGUUUUCUAGUCUGCCAUUGAAAUCACUUUCUGUCAAUACCUUUGCAAUAAUAAGAAAAACUAGUAUCAUGCUAACUCAAAUUCAGCUCUCUUUCUCAGCUGUACAAACCCUCCCUACUAUCCAGUGAAGUUCAAGCCUCAGACAAGGACAGUAUAAGCAAACUCAUUAACUAAGUUUACCUAGUAUUUAAUUCCAAAGCACUAAAUAUAUUCUGCUAGGAUAAAUUAGAAGCAAACCCAUCUUGGUAGAUUUAUCUGGGUUUAAAGUAUUAAGCAAACUUUUUCAGCUAUCACUUGCCUUUACUACUCUCAGUUCAAUAACAUUCAAGGCCAAAGCUUAGAACUGUUCUUCUACUUUCGCCCUAAAUCUGAAACAGAGCAAUUUACUAAAAUAAAAUACAUUGUUCAUCUCUGGAGAAGCAAAGUCUUUAUCUGGUUGGGCCCCUUAUCUGUUCACUUUGGAUUCAGAUAAAAAUUAUUUUUCUAACAGGUAUGAGUGUCCAAUAAAUUUCUACCCUUAGAAAUCCUGUUUCCUUUCUUCGUUGUUCUCCCUUCUGUGAUUUUUACCCGCCCCUCUUUUUCCCUAGCACACAAGCCCCUGGUGGAAAACCAUCUGGUUUUAUACAUUAUCAGAUAAGACAUUACCCUCAUCUAUGAUCAACUUUAGUCCACAAAAAUUUUGGUGAGAAGGAAAGUUUUACCGCAAACAGACGUUACUAAAGAGAAGAGAGCCAAAAGGUCACAUAAAUAUCAGUCCAACAAUGCAACUUGAAUAGGUAUAGGGAAAAGUGAAAAUCAAAAACAAAUGAUGCAAGAGAGAAAGGAUGAUGAAGUGAAGUGAGUAUUGAUAUAUUAGUACUGAAAAAAGUUUACAGACUUCUGCUUCCUUUACCAGUCAACUGACCUAUAACACAGCACUGAGCAAAGUCUACCCUUAACUUCCUGAACCUAGGCAAGCCAUCAAGAAAGACUCACUCCUAACCACCUGAGGGCCCCAAUUAGUCAUCUAAAAAUUAAGAGAAUAAAUUGAGGAUUUAUUGACUUGAGUUCCACAGAAUUCUGUAAGAUCCAUAUAUGGAAUUCAGUGUUAUAUAUCUUAAAAUUUUAACAAAAACCAGAUAUAUAUAUAUGUAUGUACAUUUUUCUAUUACACACAAAAUCCAUAUACACAAAGAUAUUGCUAGAUAUACAUAUAUAUAUACACACACAUUCAUUAUUAUUAUUUUUGGAAAAGAAUCUGGAUUUUUUAUUAGCUUCUCAAAAAAGGUUAUUUACAUCAAAAAGUAAGAACAAAGAGAACUAGAAAGAGGUGUCAUUAUAAAUACUUAAUUUAAGGGGGGAACUGUCAAUAAGAAAGCAUGCCCCUUGGUGGGAUGUGGAGCAAGGCCCCAAUCUCAGGUGAGAGAAACCAAAAUGUCCAAGUAAAAAGAUGAGCCUCCUAAAAUCUCUAAAUUGAGAGUCUGAACAAUGACUUAGAAGUAGAGACUAAGGUAGACCAGUCCCUAUAACUGGGCCAAUGUGUGGGGGAAAACGAGGGAAGAAGUACAGCUAAUGAGUACGACAGCAUCCCAGGGUUCAUCCUGAGAACCAAAUUUCUGACCUGAGGAGAUCUGCAGAAGCUCAACAUACACAGAGUUGCUCCAGAUUUUAUGUUUAUGAAAGUAUAUAAAUUCUAAUCCCCUCUGGAUUCUUAAAAGCAACUAUUAUCAUUUGGUAAACUUUCUUCCAAAGGCAAUGGGAAUGAGUGAGCCUGUAAGGACCUGUGGUUGGAGGGGUGAGGCAAGCUUGGGAAAUGAAGUAGACUUAACACAAUGGAACAGAAACCUUCAAGACCUUGAGCGUUGGGUUCCUGUGUUUUAUUUCUUAGCAUUUUCUGAAAAAAAAAUACAUCCUACUUGAUGUAUUUCAAGUUCAUGCACUUUUCCUAAACCUUUACCAUCUAAAUAUAGCAAUAAACUCCAGCUCUUCAAAGAUAAACACCGAUACGGUGAUCAAAGAAGUGGCCAUUCUAAAAGGACUUUAAUCAGUAGUAUGUCGGAUGGAAAAGAACAGAAUUUUAAAUAACUAAACCAAUGUUCUCUUUAAAACAGAAAGAAUAUCUUUAAUUCCAAAGGAACAAAAGAAGGAAAAAUAUCCAGAAUGGAGCUUUUAUGAUUGACUUCUCACAAUUUUCUGCUACUAACAAUUUCACAUUAUUGAUGUCUUCAUUAGCCUAAAUAUAAAGGGUACCAGCAAAGAAUACAAAGCUUUAUUUUGAAUGUAGCCCAAAGCCCAUUAGUUUAAAAGUGUCAAUGUUUUAUGGUUUUAAGAAACCAUAUAAAUUGCACUUAUUUAUGUAAGUUCAUUUUCCAAAUGUGUGAACACAAAUGUCCAUUGUCUAUGAGGAAAGUUCAUGCUGAGCUACAAGUGAAUCGUACAAUUGAGCUCUCAGCUAAGUGGCAGCCUCUGCCAAGCUAGCCAUUUUGGUAAGUGGCCCUAAAUUUGAUACAGGGAAAAUAAUUUUUUAUUGUUUUCCCAGGGGAGAAAGCUCUUUUCAAAGAGCACAGACCAGCAAUGAUUUUUUUUUUAAUUCUUGUUGACACUACUAUUUUUUAUACUACAAAAAAAUCUAAGACUGCGUUUUUUAACUUCCUUUUGUUAACUGUGCAAAAGACCUACUGACCUGUGUCUUUAAAGCCCUGACUUACUUUGCUCUAGAUAUCAUUAAAAUUUUUCUCCAUUCUCUGCUCAGCAAUUUCUCCUUUCUAAAGCAGCAUGCUAGUUCACUGUUUGUAUUCCCAAAGAAAUACACAGGGAGACCAGCCCCACAAUUUCAGCCUAUUCCUUGGAAUUAGUGUGAAGGCUAACUUCUUCUGUCUUCUUAGUCAUUUAGUAUCUUUCAAAAUUAUUUUAGGUACAACAUAGCCUUAGAGAAGCUAUUCAAAUUGGUGAAUAACCUUUUGAUUUAUUCCCUCAUUAAAAAUGACAGCUAGCAGGAGGGAUCCUUGUGAUAGAAGUGUUCUGUAUCUUCACUGAGAUGGUGACCAGGUGAAUGUGCACAUGUAAUAAAACUGAACAGCUAAAUAUACACACACAUAAUACAUACAAAUGAGUCCAUGUAAAACUCAUGAAUCUAAAUAAGGCUGAUGUAUUAUAUUGAUGUCAAUCUCCCAGUUAUGAUACUGUAUUAUAUUUAUGCAAAAUGUUACCAUGAGGGGAAUCUGAGUGAAGGGAAUAUGGAUCUCUUUAUCUUAUCUUCUACAACCAAAUGUGAAUCCAAAAUUCUCAAAAUUUAAAAAAAUAACAAAUCGUUAACAAAUUGUACAUUUGGGGAUUUUUUAAUUUCAUCACCAAAAAAAGGUUACUUUAGAAAUAUUUAAAAGACAAUAAAAGUGUGCAAUAUAAGUAGUAACAAUCACCUUUGCUCUGUCUUUUCCUGAUAAAUGAUUAUGAUUUGUCACUACCAGUAAAAGGAGCACUGAGCUCCUUAGCAGAGCCAGUAUAUGUCAUUUUUAAUUUUCUGAUUUUAAAAAUGUAACCUGGUUUUGAUUAUGUGCCUCAGGUUGGCUGCAACAGGAUCUCCAGUUGGUUUGUGAGUUUUCCAGGGUAGACUCACCAAUCAUUCUAAUUUCAGUUGUGUGUUCAGACAUGCCCAUUCACAGCCAUGAUGGAAGGAGAUCCUACAUUCAUGUUACAGACUCUACCUCUCACAAACACAAAUGGUUACAGAAAAACACCUUAGAAGUGAAUGUCUUCCUUAGAUAUUAAAGAGAAAUAUGCUUUAAUGUUUUCAUUUUGUUAAAACUAAUUCUUGUGGCCUGUAUCAUGUAAAUGGGAGAAAUGAAUGAGUUCAGCUAAAAAGAAUUAAGUUGUCAGCUAAAUUUUCUAGCAUUGCAGUUUGAUCCCACUUUAAUACUACAGAAUGAAAGUGCUUUAAAAAUUUUUAUAACCUAGUUUCUGCCACCCUGUCUCUACAAUCUCCAAAGCUAUGCAAAUUAAGAGACACAAUCUCAUUUCAUUUUCAAACUUGAAAUAUAAGGAAGCUUAGUUUCCUUAAAAGUAAUCUCCCCCUUCCACAAAUUUUGACACCUUCCAAAAGCAUGGCUGAGAAGGUUUGGCUUCAAACUCCUAAAUACGCUCAAUCAGAAUUAUCUAAGACUCAAAGAAAAAAAGAAUUGCAGGCUGAGUCUAAUUUUCUUCUUUUACAAAGUUAGACAUGCAUACCAGAAAACAUCACAAAACUAUAAAUUCAAGCAAAAUAACCAGCACUUGCACCUGCAAGAGAACUAGUAAUUUCUUAAAAUGCACUUCAUAGGUAAAGUAAUCCAAGCAGACUCUUAUGCAAAGUACCAGUUCUAAUAC